rnacentral:sRNA from 1 species
CAAAGACAACCUCUUCUCUCCCGCUUCUCUCGCUGUGAAGAUGGCGCUCUCCAGGGUCUUCAAAGCUUCACCUUUCUCCAAAGGCAGAUGUGAAGAACUUGAUGUCUUAUGUCGUAACCAAGACAAAAGCCAUUAAUGGGAAAUACCAUCGUUUCUUGGGUCGUCAUUUCCCCCGCUUCUAUGUCCUGUACACAAUCUUCAUGAAAGUUCCGCCAAGACGUCACCAAGUGUCUUUUCCUAGGUAUUAUUUCCAUUCCACCUUUUGCCAACUACCUGGUCUUCUUGCUAAUGUACCUGUUUCCCAGGCAACUACUGAUCAGGCAUUUCUGGACCCCAAAACAACAAACUGAUUUCUUAGAUAUCUAUCAUGCUUUCCGGAAGCAGUCCCACCCAGAAAUUAUUAGUUAUUUAGAAAAGGUCAUCCCUCUCAUUUCUGAUGCAGGACUCCGGUGGCAUCUGACAGAUCUGUGCACCAAGAUACAGCGUGGUACCCACCCAGCAAUACAUGAUAUCUUGGCUCUGAGAGAGUGUUUCUCUAACCAUCCUCUGGGCAUG